UACGUAGGGACCUAGCGUUGUCCGGAAUCAUUGGGCGUAAAGCGCGCGUAGGCGGCCCGGUAAGUCCGUUGUAAAAGUCGAAGGCUCAACCUUCGAAAGCCGAUGGAUACUGCCGGGCUAGAGUCCGGAAGAGGCGAGUAGAAUUCCUGGUGUAGCGGUGAAAUGCGCAGAUAUCAGGAGGAACACCGGUGGCGAAGGCGGGUCUCUGGGCCGAUACUGACGCUGAGGAGCGAAAGCGUGGGGAGCGAACAGG
rnacentral:rRNA from 1 species